GUGCAAAGCUCCUGCUAUACUCAUUCGCCGUUAAGUGUUGCAGUUAAAGCCCUUUUUGUACCUUUUAUCCCAUGGCUUAUCUGUGUCAAAUCAACAGCUAAAUCC